AUUGAACGCUGGCGGCAGGCCUAACACAUGCAAGUCGAACGAGUGGCGGACGGGUGAGUAAUGUCUGGGAAACUGCCUGAUGGAGGGGGAUAACUACUGGAAACGGUAGCUAAUACCGCAUACCAUCGGAUGUGCCCAGAUGGGAUUAGCUAGUAGGUGGGGUAACGGCUCACCUAGGCGACGAUCCCUAGCUGGUCUGAGAGGAUGACCAGGCACACUGGAACGGAGACACGGUCCAGACUCCUACGGGAGGCAGCAGUGGGGAAUAUGGCACAAUGGGCGCAAGCCUGAGGCAGACAUGCCGCGUGUAUGAAGAAGGCCUUCGGGUGUUAAAGUACUUUCAGUGGGGAGGCGUUACCCGCAGAAGAAGCACCGGCUAACUCCGUGCCAGCAGCCGCGGUAAUUC
rnacentral:rRNA from 1 species